GACGAACGCUGGCGGCGUGCUUAACACAUGCAAGUCGAACGGAAAGGCCCUGCUUUUGUGGGGUGCUCGAGUGGCGAACGGGUGAGUAACACGUGAGUAACCUGCCCUUGACUUUGGGAUAAAUUCAGGAAACUGGGGCUAAUACCGGAUAGGAGCUCCUGCUGCAUGGUGGGGGUUGGAAAGUUUCGGCGGUUGGGGAUGGACUCGCGGCUUAUCAGCUUGUUGGUGAGGUAGUGGCUUACCAAGGCUUUGACGGGUAGCCGGCCUGGGAGGGUGACCGGCCACAUUGGGAUUGAGGUACGGCCCAGACUCCUACGGGAGGCAGCAGUGGGAAAUAUAGCGCGAUGGGCGGAGGCAGGAUGCAGCAACGCCGCGUGCGGGAUGACGGCCUUCGGGUUGUAAACCGCUUUCGCCUGUGACGAAGCGUGAGUGACGGUAAUGGGUAAGGAAGCACCGGCUAACUACGUG
rnacentral:rRNA from 1 species